rnacentral:rRNA from 1 species
UGAAGUAAGUAAGGGCGUACGGUGAAUGCCUUGGUGCCAACAGGCGAAGAAGGACGCGGCAAGCUGCGAAAAGCCUCGGGAAGCUGCAAGCAAGCGAUGAUCCGGGGAUAUCCGAAUGGGGUAACCUGAUCGAGGCAAUACUCGAUCGUUCAUACCUGAAUACAUAGGGUAUGAAACGCGAAACCCGCUGAAGUGAAACAUCUCAGUAAGCGGAGGAAAAGAAAGAGAAAUCGAUUCCGUAAGUAGUGGCGAGCGAAAGCGGAUGGAGCCCAAACCGAAGGUAUUCCUUCGGGGUUGUAGGACCACGUCAUAUUCGACCAUACUGGAUAGUAGAACAGCCUGGAAAGGCUGGCCGGAGAAGGUGAAAGCCCUGUAGACGAAAUCCAGAGUGGGAAUUAGUGGUAUCCUGAGUAAUACAUCACACGUGGAACGAUGUAUGAACCCGCGCGGACCACCGCGCAAGGCUAAAUACUAGUUGGCGACCGAUAGUGAACAAGUACCGCGAGGGAAAGGUGAAAAGAACCGCUGUGAGCGGAGUGAAAUAGAACCUGAAACCGUAUGUCUACAAAGUGUCAGAGCAGAGCAAUCUGCGAUGGCGUGCCUUUUGUUUAAUGAGUCUGCGAGUCAGUGUUUGUGGCAAGACUAAGGGCUUCCGGCCCGGAGUCGCAGCGAAAGCAAGUCCGAACAGGGCGCAAUAAGUCGCAGGUACUGGACCCGAAGCGGAGGUGACCUACCCUUGGCCAGGUUGAAGCAUGGGUAAAACCAUGUGGAGGACCGAACAGGUGAACGUUGAAAAGUUCUCUGAUGAGCUGAGGGUAGGAGUGAAAGGCUAAUCAAACCCCGUGAUAGCUGGUUCUCUUCGAAAUGCAUUUAGGUGCAGCGUCACGUGCUGAUGCGCGGGGGUAGAGCACUGACAAGGCUAGGGGGCACACCCGCUUACCAAACCUUAUCAAACUCCGAAUACCGUGCAAUGGAACGUGGCAGUGAGACAGUGGGGGAUAAGCUUCAUUGUCGAGAGGGAAACAACCCAGACCAGCAGCUAAGGUGCCUAAAUAACGCUCAGUGGAAAGGAUGUGGGAUUACACAGACAGUGAGGAUGUUGGCUUAGAAGCAGCCACCAUUUAAAAAAUGCGUAAUAGCUUACUCAUCGAGUGAUCCUGCGCCGAAAAUGAUUGGCGAUCAAGCGUUAUACCGAAGCUCUGGACUUUGCCGCAAGGCAGAGUGGUAGAAGAGCGUUGCAUGCGCGUCGAAGGGCGAUGGCGACUGACCCUGGAGCACAUGCAAGUGAGUAUGCAGACAUGAGUAACGUUAAGCCGGGUGAAAUCCCCGGCCGCCGUAAACCCGAGGUUUCCAGGGCAACGUGUUUCGUCCCUGGGUUAGCCGGGACCUAAGCCGAGGCCGAGAGGCGUAGGCGAUGGACAUCAGGUUAAUAAUCCUGAGCUCGCAACCCUUAAACUGGGGGGACGCAUGAGAAAAGAUGACUAGGUUAUUGAAUUCCGAGUUGAGUCCACGGACUCAGCGCAUCAUUGGAUCGAGUGCCAAGAAAAGCCCCAGCGUAUGCUAAGCGACCCGUACCGCAAACCGACACAGGUGGGUGGGUAGAAUAUACCAAGGCGUAAGAGUGAAACCUGGUUAAGGAACUCGGCAAAUUAGCCCCGUAACUUCGGAAGAAGGGGUGCCUGCAGCGAUGCAGGCCGCAGAGAAAUGGCCCAACCGACUGUUUAUCAAAAACACAGCACUCUGCAAAGACGCAAGUCGAAGUAUAGGGUGUGACACGUGACCAAUGCCGAAAGAUUAAGGCAAGGGGUUAGCCGCAAGGCGAAGCUCUAAACCCAAGUCCCGGUGAAUGUCGGCCGUAACAAUAACGGUCCUAAGGUAGCGAAAUUCCUUGUCGGGUAAGUUCC